ACUCAGAACGAGGAGGAGGAGGAGGAGGAGGAGGAGGAGACGCCAGUCCAGGAUGGCAGUCAGACAAACUCAACAGAGAACAACACACAUGCAUCCUGUCAGGUUGACACAGAAGAUGACACAGACGAGAAAGAGAGUCACGCUGAAGUGGAAGAAACCGCUCUUCUCCCCAAUAGCUCCCUCCCCAUUCAGAAUGGAGGUGAGGACAGAUCAGGUAUGGAGUCUCAGUAUGAUGAACGCACACACACACACACACACGCAAGCACGCACGCACACACGCACAAACGCACACACACACACACACGCACACACGCACACACACGCACACACACACACACACACGCACACACACGCACACACACACACACACACAUGCAAGCACGCACACACGCACACUCACACACACACACAUACACACUCAGCUGGAACUC
rnacentral:lncRNA from 1 species